rnacentral:rRNA from 1 species
GAUGAACGCUGGCGGCGUGCCUAAUACAUGCAAGUCGAGCGAACGGACGAGAAGCUUGCUUUUCUGAUGUUAGCGGCGGACGGGUGAGUAACACGUGGAUAACCUACCUAUAAGACUGGGAUAACUUCGGGAAACCGGAGCUAAUACCGGAUAAUAUUUUGAACCGCAUGGUUCAAAAGUGAAAGACGGUCUUGCUGUCACUUAUAGAUGGAUCCGCGCUGCAUUAGCUAGUUGGUAAGGUAACGGCUUACCAAGGCAACGAUGCAUAGCCGACCUGAGAGGGUGAUCGGCCACACUGGAACUGAGACACGGUCCAGACUCCUACGGGAGGCAGCAGUAGGGAAUCUUCCGCAAUGGGCGAAAGCCUGACGGAGCAACGCCGCGUGAGUGAUGAAGGUCUUCGGAUCGUAAAACUCUGUUAUUAGGGAAGAACAUAUGUGUAAGUAACUGUGCACAUCUUGACGGUACCUAAUCAGAAAGCCACGGCUAACUACGUGCCAGCAGCCGCGGUAAUACGUAGGUGGCAAGCGUUAUCCGGAAUUAUUGGGCGUAAAGCGCGCGUAGGCGGUUUUUUAAGUCUGAUGUGAAAGCCCACGGCUCAACCGUGGAGGGUCAUUGGAAACUGGAAAACUUGAGUGCGGAAGAGGAAAGUGGAAUUCCAUGUGUAGCGGUGAAAUGCGCAGAGAUAUGGAGGAACACCAGUGGCGAAGGCGACUUUCUGGUCUGUAACUGACGCUGAUGUGCGAAAGCGUGGGGAUCAAACAGGAUUAGAUACCCUGGUAGUCCACGCCGUAAACGAUGAGUGCUAAGUGUUAGGGGGUUUCCGCCCCUUAGUGCUGCAGCUAACGCAUUAAGCACUCCGCCUGGGGAGUACGACCGCAAGGUUGAAACUCAAAGGAAUUGACGGGGACCCGCACAAGCGGUGGAGCAUGUGGUUUAAUUCGAAGCAACGCGAAGAACCUUACCAAAUCUUGACAUCCUUUGACAACUCUAGAGAUAGAGCCUUCCCCUUCGGGGGACAAAGUGACAGGUGGUGCAUGGUUGUCGUCAGCUCGUGUCGUGAGAUGUUGGGUUAAGUCCCGCAACGAGCGCAACCCUUAAGCUUAGUUGCCAUCAUUAAGUUGGGCACUCUAAGUUGACUGCCGGUGACAAACCGGAGGAAGGUGGGGAUGACGUCAAAUCAUCAUGCCCCUUAUGAUUUGGGCUACACACGUGCUACAAUGGACAAUACAAAGGGCAGCGAAACCGCGAGGUCAAGCAAAUCCCAUAAAGUUGUUCUCAGUUCGGAUUGUAGUCUGCAACUCGACUACAUGAAGCUGGAAUCGCUAGUAAUCGUAGAUCAGCAUGCUACGGUGAAUACGUUCCCGGGUCU